rnacentral:lncRNA from 1 species
GACGACUUUGACUUUGGAUCUCCCAAAUCCGAUAGUUCACGAACAAAAUCUAUAAAACAGGGAAUGAAGGCAAAAAGAGUAAGCAUUUCGAUGCUUAGUAAGUCUUAAGUAAUGAAAUCAUUUAUAACUAAAGCAUAGCAUUCAUAAGGCUCAUCAUCUUUCUGACUAAAUGUAGUCAUGAUUAAAUAUACCUCUAUCGUUCAUACAUGUCAUCUUAAAUUUUUCCUUAAACACGAAUUCGUAUCAUGUAGAUAAUCUCUUUUUACCCAACUAACCUCAUAAUUAUGCCGAAUACAUCUAAUUCGAUUACAAGGCUAAAUAAAUGCAAAUACGCAAAAAUCACAUACUUAUGUUACUUCACACUUCAACCCAUAUACUUACAUGCUCAUAGUCAAUCUUAACUUAAUUUCAAUGUAUAUACGGUGCAUACCUGAUCAUCUUAGGGUUGUAAGCCCAUCAAUAGAAGUUAUUACGACAAGAUCGCACAUUUCCAACCCAAUUGCCUUCGGGAUUUAGCCCGGAUGUAACAACCAGCACAAAUGCCUUCGGGACUUAACCCGGAAAUAGCGACCAGCACAAAUGCCUUCGGGGCUUAACCCGGAAAUAACAACCAGCACGAAUGCCUUCGGGACUUAUCCCGGAAAUAACAACCAGCACGAAUGCCUUCGGGACUUAACCCGGAUAUAAUCCUCAACUGUCAUGCACAAAAUAUAUUUAUAUUAUAAAUCAUUAACAAUUCAUUUACAUUAUUAGAUCACAAACACAACAUGAUUAUCCAUCAUUCAUUUUCGGCUCAACAGCUCAUACAAAUGACACGAUUCCGUUUCGCUACUCUACAUGAGUUUCUAUAACCAUUCGAUUACAAGCCGAUGCACUACCCAUUUAUUUCAAUAUGUAAAUCAAGAGAAACCAUCAGGUCACAAUUUAUUUAUUGUGCUAUAUAUAUAAAUAUAUAACAUUGUUUAAUCAAAUCAUAAGCUAAGUUCCAUUACUCAAAGACUUACCUCGGAUUUAUUUGAACAACUACGGAUAGGCUACUCGAUUGCUUUCUCUUUUCCCUUUUUCGAAAUUGCCCCCCUAUGCUCUUGAGCUUUAAAGCAACAAAUUUUAAACUAAACAUUAAUCGACUAUUCAAAUAUUAUUUUCAGAAUAUAAUACAUAUAUAUUCGACUUUCACACAUACAGAUUAUAGUAAGCUUAUAAGAAAACAUUAAGCAACUCCUUAACAAAAUUUUAUCAAUGAUUACCCCAUAAUCACAAAAUUCACAAUAAGCUAUCUUCUUGAGCAAUAGUCACUAAAUUAUUUAUAACUGGAGCUACAAAACUCCAAAUCAAUUGCCGUAAAAUUUCCCUGAAAAUAGACUCAAAUAUAUUUUAUCCAUAAAAUUUUCAGAAUUUUUAGUUUGGCCAAUCAAUACCAGAUUUUUCUUAAAGUUUCCCUUGUUUCACUAUUUGACUAAUCUGACCACUCUUCACUACGAAAUAAAUUUCUCAUUGUACAGAAUUCAAAACAUGUCCUUGUUUAUUUCAUUUGAAACUAGACUCAUUAAGGAGUCUAAGCAUAUAAAUUUCAUUAUUUUACUAUUUUUAUACGUUUUAUAGUGAUUUUAUAAAUACAGAACAGGGGAUCUAGAAGUCAUUUUGACUCUGUCCCACAUUACUUCAAUUAUCUCAUUAUCGGAAAUUAUUUUGCUAUUAUAGUUUCUUUUAUAAGAAACUAGACUCAUCAAGCUUUAAUUACAUAAUUUAUUCAGCUUCUAACUCAACUCCCACAAUUUAUAGUGAUUUUUCCAAAAUCACUUUACUGUUGCUGUCCUAAAAAGAUUAUUGCCAAUUCACUCUUUCCCACAUUCUUUGUAGACAUAUUAUUUAAUUAUUUAUCACCCUAGAUAUUAUUAGCUAAAUAGAUCAAUUGCACAUAUAUACCGCCAAGACCGUACCUAAUAAUUUUACUUAUACAUAACAUUACUCAAAUUCUUCGAAAUCAUACUAACAAAAAUAUCAUGUACUAUGCCGAACCUUUAGGAAAUCAAGCACCUAAUUUAUCCAUUUCAAAACACCUAAUCGGCAUUUGAUCAAGACAUUAAGCAAAGUCUAGGUUUGGCUAUUACACAUAUGAGUAUUAGAAAUUAUAGUUUUUAAUAAGAUCAACUUCUUUCAUCAACAAUUUCUUCAUCAAAACUUAAAGAUAAAAAUCAAAUUCCUUCAUUAUCUACCAUAACCGAAUGUUCAAUUCAACCAUCCAAAUUCAAAGUUUUGGCAUGGGCUAAGUAAGUAGCAUGAUGAGUAACCUAAAAAAAACUAGAAUUUCAAAAAUCUAACUUGAUUUACUAACCUUCCUUAGGUUUCAAAUGGCUUAAUGUUUGCUCCCCUUUUUCUCCCUUUUGGUUCGGCUAAGAAGAACAAAGUUAAGACUUUGUUUUCUUCCCAUUCUUUCUAUUAUUAUUUUAAUUUUAUUCAUCUAUACUAUAAAAUAUUAAGCCAUUAACUAAUAAUUAAUACAUAUUUUUAUCUAUCACUUCAUCAUGGCCGGCCACUACUUGUCAAAAAUGGAUAUUUGACAUGCAAACCCAUCCUUUGUCUAACAUGCAUUAUUACACCACUUUGAGAUUAACCUAUCAUCUUUCACAUUUAUUUCACAUGAGUCCUAUUUAAUCUAUUUCACAUACAAAUGAUAAAAUUAAAACAUGAAACUUUCACACGUGUAUGUACGCAUACAGUAAGCAUAGAUUAUAACGGUUAAUUAUUUUUAUGACUCGGUUUUGUGGUCCCGAAACCACUUCUGACUAGGGCCAAAUUAGGGCUGUCACAACUCUCCCCCUCUUAAGGAAUUUUCGUCCCCGAAAAUCUUACCAGUGAAUAGAUUUGGGUAUCGUUCUUUCAUAGAUUUCUCGAUUUCCCAUGUAGCUUCUUCGAUCCCGUGUUUGAGCCAUAACACCUUUACUAACGGAACCUUUUUGUUUCGCAACUCUUUCACCUCGCGAGCUAGGAUACGAAUCGGUUCUUCUUCAUAACUCAAAUCAGAUUGAAUUUCAACCUCUGAUGGGUUAAUUAUGUGCGAUGGAUCGGAUCUAUAACGUUGAAGCAUCGAGACAUGAAAAACGUUGUGAAUCUUUUCAAGUUCAGGGGGUAAAAUCAAUCUGUAUGCGACUGGCCCAAUUCGUUUGGAUAUCUCAUACGGCCCGAUGAACCUCGGGCUCAAUUUGCCUUUACGGCCAAAUCUGAGCACCUUUUUCCAAGGUGAAACUUUAAGAAAUACUUUGUCUUCAACCUGAUAUUCAAUGUCUUUUCGUUUUAAAUCCGCAUACGACUUCUGACCAUCCGAAGCUGCCUUCAGACUUUCACGGAUUACGUUUACUUUUUGCUCAGCAUCUUUAAUCAAAUCAACCCCGAAGAUUUUACUUUCACUAAGCUCAGUCCAAAACAACGGUGUAUGGCAUUUACGACCGUACAAAGCCUCGUAAGGUGCAAUCUUAAUGCUUGAUUGAAAACUAUUGUUAUAUGCGAAUUCAACCAAAGGUAAAUAUCGUUCCCAUGAACCACUAAACUCAAGGAUGCAACAUCUCAACAUAUCCUCGAGUAUCAGAAUUAUCCGCUCAGAUUGACCAUCAGUCUGGGGAUGAAAAGCAGUGCUAAAAUGCAACUUGGUACCCAAAGCUUCUUGCAAUUUCUUCCAAAAUCGUGAUGUGAAUCUCAGAUCUCUAUCUGACACAAUAGAAAUAGGUACCCCAUGUAACCUUACGAUCUGAGAGAUGUACAAUUCAGCUAGUUUGUCGAGUGAAUAAUCUGUACGUACAAGAAUAAAAUGAGCCGACUUUGUCAAUCUAUCAACAAUGACCCAAAUCGCAUCUUUCUUACUUGGCGAUAAUGGCAACCCAGAUACAAAAUCCAUUGUAAUUCGAUCCCAUUUCCAUUCAGGUAUCAAGAUUGGCUGAAGUAACCCCGAAGGCACUUGGUGUUCUGCUUUCACUUGUUGACAUAUCAAACACUUCGAAACAAAAUCAGAAAUGUCUCGUUUCAUACUAGGCCACCAAAACUGACGUCUCAAAUCAUUGUACAUUUUUGUACUCCCCGGGUGAACUGACAUUCGGCUACUAUGAGCCUCGCUCAAAAUUAUUGAAAUAAGUUUCGACUUUCUUGGAAUACAUAAUCGACUUCUGAACCUCAGGCAAUCAUUGUCGUUGAUUUGAAACUCUGAUUCAACAUUUGAGACACAUUCGGUUCGUUUAAUAACCAAUUCUUCAUCGACUUUCUGAGCUUCACGAAUUUGAUGAAUCAAUAAUGGUUUAGCCUUUAAUUCUGCUACUAACACAUUAUCGGAUGUCACGGACAGAUGUACAUUCAUCGCUAGCAAAGUAAACAGUGAUUUACGACUUAAAGCAUCGGCAACUACGUUAGCCUUUCCCGGGUGAUAAUCAAUGACAAGCUCGUAGUCUUUCAACAACUCAAGCCAAUGUUUUUGUCAUAGAUUCAAAUCUCUUUGAGUCAUCAAAUAUUUGAGGCUUUUGUGAUUCGAAUACACAUGACACUUCUCUCCAAACAAGUAAUGUCGCCAGAUUUUUAAAGCGAAGACGAUGGCAACUAAUUCGAGAUCAUUGGUCGGAUAGGUUUUCUCAUGUGGCUUUAAUUGCCUCGACGCGUAAGCUACAACUCGACCUUCUUGCAUCAACACACAACCCAGCCCAAGUAAGGAUGCAUCACUGUAAAUGACAAACUCUUUACCGGAUUCGGGCUGCACUAGCACUGGAGCUUCAGUCAGAUAGGUUCUUAGUUGGUCGAAACUUUUCUGGAACUUUUCUGACCAUUCGAACUUAACAUCUUUCUAAAGUAGGUUCGUCAUUGGUGUAGCCAUCAUCGAAAAACCUUUUACAAACCGUCUGUAGUAACUGGCAAGUCCCAAAAAGCUCCGAACUUCAGUAACAUUUCUAGGAGGCUUCCAAUCAAGUAUGGCUGAUAUUUUACUUGGAUCAACCCUAAUACCCGAUGCGGAUACUACAUGUCCCAAAAAGCUAACUUCUUUCAACCAGAAUUCGCACUUACUGAACUUAGCAUAUAACUGCUUGUCCCGUAAAAUCUGCAACACUAAUCUCAGGUGCUCGGCAUGUUCGUUUUCAUCUCGUGAAUAAAUCAAGAUGUCAUCUAUAAACACAACUACAAACCGGUCCAAAUAUUGUCUGAAAAUUCGAUUCAUCAAGUCCAUAAAUACCGCAGGGGCAUUAGUGAGCCGAAACGGCAUUACUAAGAACUCGUAGUGACCGUAUCUCAUUCUAAAAGCAGUUUUGGGUAUAUCUGAGUCUCGAACUCGCAACUGAUAGUAACCCGAUCUCAAAUCUAUCUUUGAAAACACUGAGGCUCCCUUCAGCUGAUCAAACAAAUCAUCAAUACGUGGUAAUGGAUAUUUAUUCUUUAUGGUCACUUUAUUCAAUUGACGAUAGUCGAUGCACAUUCUCAUGGUUCCGUCUUUCUUUUUCACAAACAAUACUGGUGCACCUCAUGGUGAAAAACUCGGUCGAGCGAAACCUUUAUCCGUCAACUCUUACAACUGAGCUUUCAAUUCCUUUAAUUCGGCUGGUGCCAUACGAUACAGAGCUAUUAAAAUCGGUGUAGUCCCAGAUACAAGUUCAAUGCCAAACUCUACUUCCCGAACAGGUGGCAACCCCGGUAAUUCUUCGGGAAAAACAUCUGGAUAUUCACAAACCACUGGCACUAAUUCAAGCUUCUUUUCUAAUUCUUUACUAUCAAGUACGUACGUAAGAUACGCUUCACACCCCUUUCUUACAUAUUUUUGAGCCGACAUCGAGGAUAUUAUUAUUGCUGACAAUCCGUUCAAAUCACUAGACUCAACUCGGAUUACCUCCUUAUUUGUACAUCUCAAAUCAAUGGUCUUACUUUUGCAAUUCACCACUGCAUCAUGUACGGUCAACCAAUCCAUACCGAGGAUAACAUCAAAUUCAUCAAACGGUAAAAGCAUCAAAUCAGCCGGAAAACAGGAAUCUCGGAUUAUUAAGGGGCAUUUCUUACACACCUUAUCGACAAACACAUAUUGACCCAAGGGAUUUGACACCCUAAUAACAAAUCCAGUAGACUCAACAGGUAAAGUCUUACUGGAUGCAAAAGUCUCACAUAUAUAAGAAUGAGUAGAACCAGGGCAAUCAAAGCAAUCACAUCAGUAUCAAAGAGAGUGAAAGUACCGAUAAUAACAUCAGGUGAAGAAGCAUCCUCGCGUGCACGUAUAGCAUAAGCUCUAGCAGGAGCACGAGCCUCAGAUCUGGUCGUAGCAUCUUUAGACCCUCUCUGACCGCUACUAGCAUUCCCCGCAUUCCUCAAUGGUCUACCUCGAGCUAUAGCAGUACCCGGUUUCCCACUCUGAUUCACAUUUUGUUCUGACAGCUUUGGGCAAUCUUUGAUGAAAUGAUUGGGUGAUCCGCAUCUAUAACAAGAAUGAUCAUGAAAUCUACAACUCCUCGAAUGCCAUUUUCCACAAAAUCUGCACUCGAUCCUAUCUCUUCGGUCAUUUCCAACACUAGCAUCUGAGGUGACUCGCGUACUCAUAGGAGGUCGAUCACGGUCUCGUCUAGAAAAACCUGUAAUGUUUUUAGAUCGACCAAAAUCAUCUCAAAAUUUCUUCGAUGAUUGCUGAAAAGGAUUUCCCGAAGAUCUUUUAUGAAACUCUCUAGUUCCAACAUCAGCUUUCCUUUUUUCAUUACUAAGCUCCUCGGCUUUGCAAGCUCGCUCAACUAGUACCACGAACUCUCUGAUUUCAAGAAUACCAACAAACAUUUUAAUAUCUUUAUUUAACCCGUCUUCAAAGCGUUUACACAUAAUAGCCUCAGACGAUACACAUUCCUGAGCAUAUCUGCUAAGUCGGACGAACUUCCGUUCAAAUUCAGUAACUGACAUGGAACCUUGUUUAAGUUCAAGAAAUUCUUUCUGCUUCUGAUCAAUGAACCUCUGACUAAUAUAUUUUUUUCGAAAUUCAGUUUGGAAGAACUCCCACGUCACCCGCUCUCUGGGUACAACAGAAACCAACGUAUUCCACAAAUAAUAGGCGGAAUUACGUAGCAAAGAUAUAGCACACUUUAGGCAUUCAUCGGGUGUGCAAAAUAGUUCAUCAAGUACUCGAAUGAUAUUGUCCAACCAAAAUUCAGCUUGCUCGGCAUCAUCACAGUCUGUAGCUUUAAAUUCAGUAGCCCCGUGCUUUCGAAUUCUGUCAACCGGGGGCUUGUUCAACUUCAUCUGAUCAAUUACAGGAGGUAUUGUGGGUGCAGGGGGUGUAUUUGUUGGAAAUGGGGGUUGUGGAGCAGCCGUAUUAGUUCGAAUGUAUUGGUUAAACCAAUCAUUCAUCAUGUUAUAAAAGGCUUGUCUAGCCUCGUCAUUUUGAUUGCUUGCUAUAGGUUGAGAGUCUAUCGGCGCGAUCCCGCGUGCAGGAGUAGGCGCUACACUCUCAACAUUAUCAGCUAUCACUCGAUCGGGAUCCAUUACUAUACAAAAUAAAACAUUUUUAAUUGUCAGAAAUCGCCACACUAUCGUAUUAACACAUAAUGGCAUGUAUAGCUAGACCCCAAAUGUUUUACAGUAGUCCUAGAAUCGACAAAACCGUGGCUUUGAUACUAAUAAAAUGUAACACCCCUAACCCGUAUCCGUCGCCGGAGGGGGUAAGGAAUAUUACCAAAUAAGUACGAAAAUUCAUUUGACAAUACUCAGGUAAUUUCCGAUAGCAUACCUUCGAAUUCGAAUUUCGUUUAUACACUAUGCAAAGCAAUCUUCUCAAUUUAAAUAGUACCUUAAUUCAUUCCUAAGUUUAAUUCACAUCAAAACAUUUAAAACAUUAAUCGAUUAUCAUCCACACAUACACAUUAAUUAUGUGGAGCGCAUAUAAUAACUUAACAAGCCAUUUUUGCAUGGCUAUACAUAUAUACAUCACCAAAAAGAUACGUAAUUAACAUCAAAAGUCAAUCCUAUACAUGCCAUUAUCAAGGUUGAUUUACAAGAGUACCGAAAGGUUUAGAUAGUGUGGACGACUUUGACUUUGGAUCUCCCAAAUCCGAUAGUUCACGAACAAAAUCUAUAAAACAGGGAAUGAAGGAAAAAAGAGUAAGCAUUUCGAUGCUUAGUAAGUCUUAAGUAAUGAAAUCAUUUAUAACUAAAGCAUAGCAUUCAUAAGGCUCAUCAUCUUUCUGACUAAAUGUAGCCAUGAUUAAAUAUACCCCUAUCGUUCAUACAUGUCAUCUUAAAUUUUUCCUUAAACACGAAUUCGUAUCAUGUAGAUAAUCUCUUUUUACCCAACUAACCUUAUAAUUAUGCCGAAUACAUCUAAUUUGAUUACAAGGCUAAAUAAAUGCAAAUACGCAAAAAUCACAUACUUAUGUUACUUCACACUUCAACCCAUAUACUUACAUGCUCAUAGUCAAUCUUAACUUAAUUUCAAUGUAUAUACGAUGCAUACCUGAUCAUCUUAGGGUUGUAAGCCCAUCAAUAGAAGUUAUUACGACAAGAUCGCACAUUUCCAACCCAAUUACCUUCGGGAUUUAGCCCGGAUGUAACAACCAGCACAAAUGCCUGCGGGACUUAACCCGGAAAUAGCGACCAGCACGAAUGCCUUCGGGGCUUAACCCGGAAAUAACAACCA